rnacentral:lncRNA from 1 species
UGCAUAAACACUGAAUAUCCCUCUCUUCAUCCAUCGGUCCUCCAUCCCCAUCAUCCCUCUAUCCUCCCUCCCCAUCGUUCCUCUCUUCAUUCCUCUAUCCUCCCUCCCCAUUAUUCCUCUCUUCAUCCCUCUAUUCUCCCUCCCCAUCAUUCCUCUCUUCAUUCCUCUAUCCUCCCUCCCGAUCAUUCCUCUAUCCUCCCUCCCCAUCAUUCCUCUAUCCUCCCAACCCAUCAUUCCUCUAUCCUCCCUCCCCAUCAUUCCUCUGUCCUCCCUCCCCAUCAUUCCUCUCUACAUCCCUCUGUCCUCCCUCCCCAUCAUUCCUCUCUUCAUCCCUCUAUCCUCCCUCCCCAUCAUUCCUCUAUCCUCCCUCCCCAUCAUUCCUCUAUCCUCCCUACCCAUCAUUCCUCUGUCCUCCCUCCCCAUCAUUCCUCUGUCCUCCCUCCCCAUCAUUCCUCUCUACAUCCCUCUAUCCUCCCUCCCCAUCAUUCCUCUAUCCUCCCUCCCCAUCAUGCCUCUAUCCUCCCUCCCCAUCAUUCCUCUAUCCACCCUCCCCAUCAUUCCUCUCUUCAUCCCUCUGUCCUCCCUCCCCAUAAUUCCUCUCCUCAUUCCUCUAUCCUCCCUCCCCAUCAUUCCUCUCUUCAACCCUCUGUCCUCCCUCCCCAUCAUUCCUCUCUUCCUCCCUCUGUCCUCCCUCCCCAUCAUCCCUCUGUCCUCCCUCCCCAUCAUUCCUCUCUUCCUCCCUCUGUCCUCCCUCCCCAUCAUUCCUCUCUUCAACCCUCUGUCCUCCCUCCCCAUCAUUCCUCUCUUCCUCCCUCUGUCCUCCCUCCCAUCAUCCCUCUGUCCUCCCUCCAUCAUUCCUCUGUCCUCCCUCCCCAUCAUUCCUCUGUCCUCCCUCCCCAUCAUCACUCUGUCCUCCCUCCCCAUCAUCCCUCUAUCCUCCCUCUGUCCUCCCUCCCCAUCAUCCCUCUGUCCUCCCUCCCCAUCAUUCCUCUCUUCCUCCCUCUGUCCUCCCUCCCCAUCAUCCCUCUGUCCUCCCUCCCCAUCAUUCCUCUUUUCCUCCCUCUGACCUCCCUCCCCAUCAUCCCUCUGUCCUCCCUCGCCAUCAUUCCUCUGUCCUCCCUCCCCACCAUCCCUCUGUCCUCCCUCCCCAUCAUUCCUCUCUUCCUCCCUCCCCAUCAUUCCUCUGUCCUCCCUCCCCACCAUCCCUCUGUCCUCCCUCCCCAUCAUUCCUCUCUUCCUCCCUCUAUCCUCCCUCCCCAUCAUCCCUCUAUCCUCCCUCCCCAGCAUUCCUCUCUUCAUCCCUCUGUCCUCCCUCCCCAUCAUUCUUCUCUUCCUCCCUCUAUCUUCCCUCCCCAUCAUCCCUCUAUCCUCCCUCCAUCCUCCCUCUAUCCUCCCUCCCCAUCAUUCCUCUCUUCCUCCCUCUAUUCUCCCUCCCCAUCAUCCCUCUGUCCUCCCUCCCCAUCAUCCCUCUAUCCUCCCUCCCCAUCAUUCCUCUGUCCUCCUUCUAUCCUCCCUCCCCAUCAUUCCUCUGUCCUCCAUCCCCAUCAUCCCUCUAUCCUCCCUCCCCAUCAUUCCUCGCUUCAUCCCUCUGUCCUCCCUCCCCAUCAUUCCUCUCUUCCUCCCUCUAUCCUCCCUCCCCAUCAUCCCUCUAUCCUCCCUCCCCAUCAUCCCUCUGUCCUCCCUCCCCAUCAUCCCUCUGUCCUCCCUCCCCAUCAUCCCUCUGUCCUCCCUCCCCAUCAUCCCUCUGUCCUCCCUCCCCAUCAUCCCUCUGUCCUCCCUCCCCAUCAUCCCUCUGUCCUCCCUCCCCAUCAUCCCUCUGUCCUCCCUCCCCAUCAAUCCCUCUAUCCUCCCUCCCCAUCAUAA